AUUAAACGCUGGCGGCAGGCCUAACCCAUGCAAUUCGAACGAGUGGCGGACGGGUAAGUAAUGUCUGGAAAACUGCCUGAUGGAGGGGGAUAACUACUGGAAACGGUAGCUAAUACCGCAUACCAUCGAAUGUGCCCAGAUGGGAUUAGCUUGUUGGUGGGGUAACGGCUCACCAAGGCGACGAUCCCUAGCUGGUCUGAGAGGAUGACCAGCCACACUGGAACUGAGACACGGGCCAGACUCCUACGGGAGGCAGCAGUGGGGAAUAUUGCACAAUGGGCGCAAGCCUGAUGCAGCCAUGCCGCGUGUAUGAAGAAGGCCUUCGGGUUGUAAAGUACUUUCAGCGGGGAGGCGUUACCCGCAGAAGAAGCACCGGCUAACUCCGUGCCAGCAGCCGCGGUAAUUC
rnacentral:rRNA from 1 species